rnacentral:rRNA from 1 species
GACGGGAUAAGUGCUGAAAGCAUCUAAGCAUGAAGCCCCCCUCAAGAUGAGAUUUCCCAACUUCGGUUAUAAGAUCCCUCAAAGAUGAUGAGGUUAAUAGGUUCGAGGUGGAAGCAUGGUGACAUGUGGAGCUGACGAAUACUAAUCGAUCGAAGACUUAAUCAAAA